rnacentral:rRNA from 1 species
UUAAGCGACUAAGCGUACACGGUGGAUGCCCUGGCAGUCAGAGGCGAUGAAGGACGUGCUAAUCUGCGAUAAGCGUCGGUAAGGUGAUAUGAACCGUUAUAACCGGCGAUUUCCGAAUGGGGAAACCCAGUGUGUUUCGACACACUAUCAUUAACUGAAUCCAUAGGUUAAUGAGGCGAACCGGGGGAACUGAAACAUCUAAGUACCCCGAGGAAAAGAAAUCAACCGAGAUUCCCCCAGUAGCGGCGAGCGAACGGGGAGCAGCCCAGAGCCUGAAUCAGUGUGUGUGUUAGUGGAAGCGUCUGGAAAGGCGCGCGAUACAGGGUGACAGCCCCGUACACAAAAAUGCACAUAUUGUGAGCUCGAUGAGUAGGGCGGGACACGUGGUAUCCUGUCUGAAUAUGGGGGGACCAUCCUCCAAGGCUAAAUACUCCUGACUGACCGAUAGUGAACCAGUACCGUGAGGGAAAGGCGAAAAGAACCCCGGCGAGGGGAGUGAAAAAGAACCUGAAACCGUGUACGUACAAGCAGUGGGAGCACGCUUAGGCGUGUGACUGCGUACCUUUUGUAUAAUGGGUCAGCGACUUAUAUUCUGUAGCAAGGUUAACCGAAUAGGGGAGCCGAAGGGAAACCGAGUCUUAACUGGGCGUUAAGUUGCAGGGUAUAGACCCGAAACCCGGUGAUCUAGCCAUGGGCAGGUUGAAGGUUGGGUAACACUAACUGGAGGACCGAACCGACUAAUGUUGAAAAAUUAGCGGAUGACUUGUGGCUGGGGGUGAAAGGCCAAUCAAACCGGGAGAUAGCUGGUUCUCCCCGAAAGCUAUUUAGGUAGCGCCUCGUGAAUUCAUCUCCGGGGGUAGAGCACUGUUUCGGCAAGGGGGUCAUCCCGACUUACCAACCCGAUGCAAACUGCGAAUACCGGAGAAUGUUAUCACGGGAGACACACGGCGGGUGCUAACGUCCGUCGUGAAGAGGGAAACAACCCAGACCGCCAGCUAAGGUCCCAAAGUCAUGGUUAAGUGGGAAACGAUGUGGGAAGGCCCAGACAGCCAGGAUGUUGGCUUAGAAGCAGCCAUCAUUUAAAGAAAGCGUAAUAGCUCACUGGUCGAGUCGGCCUGCGCGGAAGAUGUAACGGGGCUAAACCAUGCACCGAAGCUGCGGCAGCGACGCUUAUGCGUUGUUGGGUAGGGGAGCGUUCUGUAAGCCUGUGAAGGUGUACUGUGAGGUAUGCUGGAGGUAUCAGAAGUGCGAAUGCUGACAUAAGUAACGAUAAAGCGGGUGAAAAGCCCGCUCGCCGGAAGACCAAGGGUUCCUGUCCAACGUUAAUCGGGGCAGGGUGAGUCGACCCCUAAGGCGAGGCCGAAAGGCGUAGUCGAUGGGAAACAGGUUAAUAUUCCUGUACUUGGUGUUACUGCGAAGGGGGGACGGAGAAGGCUAUGUUGGCCGGGCGACGGUUGUCCCGGUUUAAGCGUGUAGGCUGGUUUUCCAGGCAAAUCCGGAAAAUCAAGGCUGAGGCGUGAUGACGAGGCACUACGGUGCUGAAGCAACAAAUGCCCUGCUUCCAGGAAAAGCCUCUAAGCAUCAGGUAACAUCAAAUCGUACCCCAAACCGACACAGGUGGUCAGGUAGAGAAUACCAAGGCGCUUGAGAGAACUCGGGUGAAGGAACUAGGCAAAAUGGUGCCGUAACUUCGGGAGAAGGCACGCUGAUAUGUAGGUGAAGUCCCUCGCGGAUGGAGCUGAAAUCAGUCGAAGAUACCAGCUGGCUGCAACUGUUUAUUAAAAACACAGCACUGUGCAAACACGAAAGUGGACGUAUACGGUGUGACGCCUGCCCGGUGCCGGAAGGUUAAUUGAUGGGGUUAGCGCAAGCGAAGCUCUUGAUCGAAGCCCCGGUAAACGGCGGCCGUAACUAUAACGGUCCUAAGGUAGCGAAAUUCCUUGUCGGGUAAGUUCCGACCUGCACGAAUGGCGUAAUGAUGGCCAGGCUGUCUCCACCCGAGACUCAGUGAAAUUGAACUCGCUGUGAAGAUGCAGUGUACCCGCGGCAAGACGGAAAGACCCCGUGAACCUUUACUAUAGCUUGACACUGAACAUUGAGCCUUGAUGUGUAGGAUAGGUGGGAGGCUUUGAAGUGUGGACGCCAGUCUGCAUGGAGCCGACCUUGAAAUACCACCCUUUAAUGUUUGAUGUUCUAACGUUGACCCGUAAUCCGGGUUGCGGACAGUGUCUGGUGGGUAGUUUGACUGGGGCGGUCUCCUCCUAAAGAGUAACGGAGGAGCACGAAGGUUGGCUAAUCCUGGUCGGACAUCAGGAGGUUAGUGCAAUGGCAUAAGCCAGCUUGACUGCGAGCGUGACGGCGCGAGCAGGUGCGAAAGCAGGUCAUAGUGAUCCGGUGGUUCUGAAUGGAAGGGCCAUCGCUCAACGGAUAAAAGGUACUCCGGGGAUAACAGGCUGAUACCGCCCAAGAGUUCAUAUCGACGGCGGUGUUUGGCACCUCGAUGUCGGCUCAUCACAUCCUGGGGCUGAAGUAGGUCCCAAGGGUAUGGCUGUUCGCCAUUUAAAGUGGUACGCGAGCUGGGUUUAGAACGUCGUGAGACAGUUCGGUCCCUAUCUGCCGUGGGCGCUGGAGAACUGAGGGGGGCUGCUCCUAGUACGAGAGGACCGGAGUGGACGCAUCACUGGUGUUCGGGUUGUCAUGCCAAUGGCACUGCCCGGUAGCUAAAUGCGGAAGAGAUAAGUGCUGAAAGCAUCUAAGCACGAAACUUGCCCCGAGAUGAGUUCUCCCUGACUCCUUGAGAGUCCUGAAGGAACGUUGAAGACGACGACGUUGAUAGGCCGGGUGUGUAAGCGCAGCGAUGCGUUGAGCUAACCGGUACUAAUGAACCGUGAGGCUUAACCUU